AUUGAACGCUGGCGGCAUGCCUUACACAUGCAAGUCGAACGGCAGCACGGGAGCAAUCCUGGUGGCGAGUGGCGAACGGGUGAGUAAUAUAUCGGAACGUGCCCAGUCGUGGGGAUAACGUAGCGAAAGCUACGCUAAUACCGCAUACGAUCUACGGAUGAAAGCGGGGGGAUCGCAAGACCUCGCGCGAUUGGAGCGGCCGAUAUCAGACUAGGUAGUUGGUGAGGUAAAGGCUCACCAAGCCGACGAUCUGUAGCUGGUCUGAGAGGACGACCAGCCACACUGGGACUGAGACACGGCCCAGACUCCUACGGGAGGCAGCAGUGGGGAAUAUUGGACAAUGGGCGAAAGCCUGAUCCAGCAAUGCCGCGUGAGUGAUGAAGGCCUUAGGGUUGUAAAGCUCUUUUACUGGGGAUGAUAAUGACAGUACCCAGAGAAUAAGCUCCGG
rnacentral:rRNA from 1 species